rnacentral:tRNA from 1 species
GGAGAGGUGGCUCAGUGGUUAGGAACACUGAUUAUUGUUCCAGAGGUCCUGAGUUCAAUUCCCAGCAACCACA